UAAUUAGUAAAAUCUGCUCAAUGAAAAUUGAAUAGCCGCAAUUUGUGCUAAGGUAGCAUAAUCAUUUGUCUUUUAAAUGAAGACUAGAACAAAAGAUUUAACAUUUAAGUUUAUUUCUCAAUUUUAAUCAUUCAAAUUCUCUUAAGUGUAAAAAGACACUUAUAAUUUAGAAAGACGACAAGACCCUAUUAAACUUAACUUCAGUUUAACUGGGGCAGUAAAUUAAUUAUUAUUUUAAUUUAAAAAAAUACAGAAAUAUCCAAUCAAAUUGAAUUAUUCAGUUACUAUAGGGAUAACAGCGCAAUUAUUUUUAAAAGACCUUAUUUAAAAAAUAGAUUACGACCUCGAUGUUGAAUUAAUUACCUCAUUAAAGCAAAUUUUAAAAAAGGAAGUCUGUUCGACUUUUAAAAAAUUACAUGAUUUGAGUUCAGACCGGCGCAAGCCAGGUCGGUUUCCAUCUUCUAAAAAUUCUUUUACAGUACGAAAGGACCUAAAAAUAUUUUAAAUAUAUUGGCAGAAAAAUGCAUUAGAAUUAGAAUCUAAUUAAUCUAAC
rnacentral:rRNA from 1 species